rnacentral:rRNA from 1 species
AUUGAACGCUGGCGGCAUGCUUUACACAUGCAAGUCGAACGGUAACAGGCUGCAAGGUGCUGACGAGUGGCGAACGGGUGAGUAAUGCAUCGGAACGCGCCCAGACGUGGGGGAUCACUACUCGAAAGAGUAGCUAAUACCGCAUACGAUCUAUGGAUGACAGCGGGGGAACGCAAGGCCUCGCGCGAUUGGAGCGGCUGAUGUCAGAUUAGGUAGUUGGGGGGGUAAAGGCUCACCAAGCCAACGAUCUGUAGCUGGUCUGAGAGGACGACCAGCCACACUGGGACUGAGACACGGCCCAGACUCCUACGGGAGGCAGCAGUGGGGAAUUUUGGACAAUGGGCGCAAGCCUGAUCCAGCAAUGCCGCGUGCAGGAAGAAGGCCUUCGGGUUGUAAACUGCUUUUGUACGGAACGAAACGGCUCUGGUUAAUACCCGGGGCUAAUGACGGUACCGUAAGAAUAAGCACCGGCUAACUACGUG